rnacentral:rRNA from 1 species
GAUGAACGCUGGCGGCGUGCCUAAUACAUGCAAGUCGAGCGAACGGACGAGAAGCUUGCUUCUCUGAUGUUAGCGGCGGACGGGUGAGUAAUACGUGGAUAACCUACCUAUAAGACUGGGAUAACUUCGGGAAACCGGAGCUAAUACCGGAUAAUAUUUUGAACCGCAUGGUUCAAAAGUGAAAGACGGUCUUGAUGUCACUUAUAGAUGGAUCCGCGCUGCAUUAGCUAGUUGGUAAGGUAACGGCUUACCAAGGCAACGAUGCAUAGCCGACCUGAGAGGGUAAUCGGCCACACUGGAACUGAGACACGGUCCAGACUCCUACGGGAGGCAGCAGUAGGGAAUCUUCCGCAAUGGGCGAAAGCCUGACGGAGCAACGCCGCGUGAGUGAUGAAGGUCUUCGGAUCGUAAAACUCUGUUAUUAGGGAAGAACAUAUGUGUAAGUAACUGUGCACAUCUUGACGGUACCUAAUCAGAAAGCCACGGCUAACUACGUG